GGCAAUUUCUCUUAAAUAUAUUUAUUAUAUACAUACAUAUAUUUUUAUUAUGAACACGUCGAACCUUAAGCAAUUGAGCAUUGACUAAACCGACACAUUUUCUGGGCCUGUCAAAAGAAAAACAUUCCCUUACCUCAGAAAUUCCAAAGAGCGAAAAACAACUGUCAAAAGCAAAAGCAAAACACGUUUAUUAUUCGAACAAAUUAAUACAUCAAACAACGAAAACAAAAUCGAAUACUCCAAGCCCUUGUUGAACAAAUGGAGCUCAAAGAAUUAAAUUGUAUUUUCGAAACUGAAAAGCAAA